AGCCUACAAGUCCUUUACUGACGCUAAAGCUCGAAGGUGCGGGUAUCGAACAGGAUUAGAUACCCUGGUAGUCCGCACGGUAAACGAUGGAUGCCCGCUGUUUGCGAUAUAGUGUGAGCGGCCAAGCGAAAGCGUUAAGCAUCCCACCUGGGGAGUACGCCGGCAACGGUGAAACUCAAAGGAAUUGACGGGGGCCCGCACAAGCGGAGGAACAUGUGGUUUAAUUCGAUGAUACGCGAGGAACCUUACCCGGGCUUGAACUGCAGCAGAACGAUUGAGAGAUCAUGAGGUCCUUCGGGACUGCUGUGGAGGUGCUGCAUGGUUGUCGUCAGCUCGUGCCGUGAGGUGUCGGCUUAAGUGCCAUAACGAGCGCAACCCCUCUCUUCAGUUGCCAUCACUUCGGGUGGGCACUCUGGAGACACUGCCACCGUAAGGUGUGAGGAAGGUGGGGAUGACGUCAAAUCAGCACGGCCCGACGUGGCGGUGUGUACACACCCUGACAAUGGGUGGUACAGAGCGUCGGCGACGGGCAACGUCGGUCCAAUCGUGAAAUCCAUCCUCAGUUCCGACUGGGGUCUGCAACCGCCCCGCGAAGCGGAU
rnacentral:rRNA from 1 species